UACGGAGGGUGCAAGCGUUGUCCGGAUUUAUUGGGUUUAAAGGGAGCGUAGGCGGCCUUGUAAGUCAGUGGUGAAAUCCAGCAGCUUAACUGUUGAACUGCCAUUGAUACUGCGAGGCUUGAGUACUGAUGAGGUAGGCGGAAUUGAUAGUGUAGCGGUGAAAUGCAUAGAUAUUAUCAAGAACACCGAUUGCGAAGGCAGCUUACUAAGGAGUAACUGACGCUGAGGCUCGAAAGCGUGGGGAUCGAACAGG
rnacentral:rRNA from 1 species